GGACAAUCUUGAAAGGAACUUCGCUGUAAGGAGAGGGAAAAAUAGAAAGAAAAGAAGAAAAACUAAAAAGCUACUGGCUCACAUGGAGUAAACGGUACUCACAUGAACCCACAAACCCAUGUGGUCCAUUUCAAAAAGAGUGGUGAAAGUCACAUGACCACAGAAGGAAGACAGACACACUGGGACACACUUUACCAGAUGACUCCCUUCAUAGUGGG